CCUACGGGAGGCAGCAGUGGGGAAUAUUGGACAAUGGGCGAAAGCCUGAUCCAGCCACGCCGCGUGUGUGAUGAAGGUCUUCGGAUCGUAAAGCACUGUGGAGAGGGAUGAAAAGCAGUGGGAACAAUACCCCGCUGUUUUGACGGUACCUCUUUAGCAAGCACCGGCUAACUCCGUGCCAGCAGCCGCGGUAAUGCGGAGGGUGCAAACGUUGCUCGGAAUCAUCGGGCGUAAAGCGCGCGUAGGCGGCUGAGUAAGUCGAGUGUGAAAGCCCUGGGCUUAACCCAGGAAGUGCGCUCGAAACUGCUUGGCUAGAGUACGGGAGAGGGUAGCGGAAUUCCCGGUGUAGAGGUGAAAUUCGUAGAUAUCGGGAGGAACACCAGUGGCGAAGGCGGCUACCUGGACCGAUACUGACGCUGAGGCGCGAAAGCGUGGGUAGCAAACAGGAUUAGAUACCCUGGUAGUCCACGCCGUAAACGAUGAGUGCUAGGUGUCGCGGGUAUUGACCCCUGCGGUGCCGCAGUUAACGCAUUAAGCACUCCGCCUGGGGAGUACGGCCGCAAGGCUAAAACUCAAAUGAAUUGACGG
rnacentral:rRNA from 1 species